ensembl:lncRNA LINC02241 long intergenic non-protein coding RNA 2241
CAGGUGCGUAGUGCCUCCGCCCAUCUCUCUCUUGCUCCUGGUCUCAUCGUGACGGGCCUGGUCCUGCCUCACUUUAUGCCACGACUAAGAGCUCCCUGAGGCCUCUCCAGAAGCAGAUAUCACUAUGCUUCCUACACAGCCUGCAGAACCGUAUACUCUUCUGCCGAGAGACUGUACUUCUCAGCCUCCCUUGUGGCUAGGUGUGCCAUGUGACUGAGUGCUCAUGAUUGAGAUUUCUCUUGCCUGCCACCAUGUAAGAUAUGCUUUUACUCUUCCGCCUUCCACCGUGACUGUGAGGCCUCCCCAGCCAUGUGAAACUGCCUUUGAGCUUAUACUGAAUUAUACCACCAGCUUUCCUAGGUCUUGAAGCUUACAGACAGCAGAUCUUGGGACUUCUCAGGCACCAUAAUCAAUCAUAGAUAAAUGAUCCAAUGAUUCGGAACUUGAAAAGUGGUAGCUUUAUGAAUUCUCCUUAAGAAGAAACCUGUGCCCUGAUCUUGCCUACUCACCCAAAGGCACUGUGAGAUAGCAUCAAAGGAACAGCUAGUAAGAGACACAGAGCCAGAAAUCAGGGAAGUAAAAUACACUUGACAUCUACGUUCGGAAAGAAAUUUUAGGAGGCAGAAGCAAAUGGAUCAGAAGCUGCUUAUAUUUUUGCAAGAUUACCAAAGAAACCAUUGGUGGAGAAAGUUCUGUGACCAACUUGUCUGAGUCUAGUAAGAUUGAACGCUCACACACAAGUUUCAUGAAGUGGGUUUGAUACUUACAGAUAAGCAGCAAGGACCAACAGAAGCUGAUGAUCUAUGGUGAACUUUUUCCCAAGGCUCCGGAAAGCUGCCUAAAGUAGAUGGAGUCUUCUCUGUGUGUGCCCCACUGGUCCUGCAGUUGAAGGAUCCGGUAAAGCAGCCUGCCCUUGGUUUUAUACUCCAGAGGAACGUGAUUCGCUGGACUAAAGCAUUGAAGUGCAUCCUGUUUCCGGGGGGCACUGGAACAGAGCCUGGUCUGUUCUAGCCAGUCCCUUUCUAUCUCAGGAUAACAUUCUACAGUUAUUCUUGAGAACUAUAAUCAAAUAAGCAGGGAGAACUGGGUAAGUCCAAGGCUUAUCUAUACAAGCCUUUAAAUAUUCAAGACCAAAAAAAAAAAAAAAAAAAAAAAAAA